rnacentral:lncRNA from 1 species
GGAAGACUUUAACAAGCACAUACAUUAUAAUAUGUGGAUAUAGCCUUGACUUAUACAGGUUUUGGGGGCUGGUCCCCCUCCACAAUUCUUCUCUUUGCAUCUGCUAAAGAGGAAGAUGGAGCAGACCUGCAGUUCAACCAAAGCUACAGAGAUUUUUGGUGUGCGGUCAUAUGGCUGUUGUGCACAGCAAGGUGUUCUGUAGAAUGGCAUGAAGUACCAGUG